rnacentral:tRNA from 1 species
ACCUGGCUGGCUCAGUCAGUGGAGCACAUGACUCUUGAUCUUGAGGUCAUGAGUUCAAACCCCAUGCUGAGCA